rnacentral:rRNA from 1 species
ACGAUUGACGGAGCGAAGCGACGUCAAAGCGUUCAUUAAAGUCGAGUUGGCUUAGGGAUACGUUCGUUGGGUAGGGGAGCGUUCUGUAAGCCUGUGAAGGUGUGUCGUGAGGCAUGCUGGAGGUAUCAGAAGUGCGAAUGCUGACAUAAGUAACGAUAAAGCGGGUGAAAAGCCCGCUCGCCGGAAGACCAAGGGUUCCUGUCCAACGUUAAUCGGGGCAGGGUGAGUCGACCCCUAAGGCGAGGCCGAAAGGCGUAGUCGAUGGGAAACGGGUUAAUAUUCCCGUACUUGGUGUUACUGCGAAGGGGGGACGGAGAAGGCUAUGUUGGCCGGGCGACGGUUGUCCCGGUUUAAGCGUGUAGGUGUGUGUUCCAGGUAAAUCCGGUUCACUUUAACACUGAGGCGUGACGACGAGGCACUACGGUGCUGAAGCAACAAAUGCCCUGCUUCCAGGAAAAGCCUCUAAGCAUCAGGUAACACGAAAUCGUACCCCAAACCGACACAGGUGGUCAGGUAGAGAAUACCAAGGCGCUUGAGAGAACUCGGGUGAAGGAACUAGGCAAAAUGGUGCCGUAACUUCGGGAGAAGGCACGCUGACACGUAGGUGAAGUGAUUUACUCAUGGAGCUGAAGUCAGUCGAAGAUACCAGCUGGCUGCAACUGUUUAUUAAAAACACAGCACUGUGCAAACACGAAAGUGGACGUAUACGGUGUGACGCCUGCCCGGUGCCGGAAGGUUAAUUGAUGGGGUCAGCG